rnacentral:rRNA from 1 species
UACAUAGGGUGCAAGCGUUGUCCGGAAUUAUUGGGCGUAAAGAGCUCGUAGGCGGUUCGUCGCGUCGGCUGUGAAAACCCGGAGCUCAACUCCGGGCCUGCAGUCGAUACGGGCGGACUCGAGUUCGGCAGGGGAGACUGGAAUUCCUGGUGUAGCGGUGAAAUGCGCAGAUAUCAGGAGGAACACCGGUGGCGAAGGCGGGUCUCUGGGCCGAUACUGACGCUGAGGAGCGAAAGCGUGGGGAGCGAACAGG